CCCUUGUCCUUGGCACUGGAAGAAUUCACAAUUUAGUGAGGUGUGGGUUCUCGGGUGCCAAAGAAAGGGGA
rnacentral:miRNA from 1 species